rnacentral:rRNA from 1 species
GACGAACGCUGGCGGCGUGCCUAAUACAUGCAAGUUGAGCGCUGAAGGUUGGUCCUUGUACCAACUGGAUGAGCAGCGAACGGGUGAGUAACGCGUGGGGAAUCUGCCUUUGAGCGGGGGACAACAUUUGGAAACGAAUGCUAAUACCGCAUAAAAACUUUAAACACAAGUUUUAAGUUUGAAAGAUGCAAUUGCAUCACUCAAAGAUGAUCCCGCGUUGUAUUAGCUAGUUGGUGAGGUAAAGGCUCACCAAGGCGAUGAUACAUAGCCGACCUGAGAGGGUGAUCGGCCACAUUGGGACUGAGACACGGCCCAAACUCCUACGGGAGGCAGCAGUAGGGAAUCGUCGGCAAUGGACGAAAGUCUGACCGAGCAACGCCGCGUGAGUGAAGAAGGUUUUCGGAUCGUAAAACUCUGUUGGUAGAGAAGAACGUUGGUGAGAGUGGAAAGCUCAUCAAGUGACGGUAACUACCCAGAAAGGGACGGCUAACUACGUG